rnacentral:other from 1 species
UAACCUCUGCGGUAUUCGAUAGUGAGCUGGGUAUAUCCUUGAGCCUAUUUUAGUACCCCGGGGAUUGUUUGCCCGGUUCGUGUGCAUGCCCACCUCGAGUGGGAAGCCUAAAGAUCGGACAUCGUUCCCCACCUGAACCUCUGGUUCAAGGUCGAAAGUUUGCAACGGUAUUUGCGGAGGUUGC